rnacentral:rRNA from 1 species
GAGUAACCUGCCCUUGACUCUGGGAUAAGCCUGGGAAACCGGGUCUAAUACUGGAUACGACCUUCUGGCGCAUGCCAUGUUGGUGGAAAGCUUUUGUGGUUUUGGAUGGACUCGCGGCCUAUCAGCUUGUUGGUGGGGUAAUGGCCUACCAAGGCGACGACGGGUAGCCGGCCUGAGAGGGUGACCGGCCACACUGGGACUGAGACACGGCCCAGACUCCUACGGGAGGCAGCAGUGGGGAAUAUUGCACAAUGGGCGCAAGCCUGAUGCAGCGACGCCGCGUGAGGGAUGAAGGCCUUCGGGUUGUAAACCUCUUUCAGUAGGGAAGAAGCCUGUCUUUUGGGUGGGUGACGGUACCUGCAGAAGAAGCGCCGGCUAACUACGUGCCAGCAGCCGCGGUAAUACGUAGGGCGCAAGCGUUAUCCGGAAUUAUUGGGCGUAAAGAGCUCGUAGGCGGUUUGUCGCGUCUGCCGUGAAAGUCCGGGGCUUAACUCCGGAUCUGCGGUGGGUACGGGCAGACUAGAGUGCAGUAGGGGAGACUGGAAUUCCUGGUGUAGCGGUGAAAUGCGCAGAUAUCAGGAGGAACACCGAUGGCGAA